rfam:Hordeum vulgare subsp. vulgare, WGS project CAJW01000000 data, contig: morex_contig_1571737
UACAUACUCCCUCCGUCCGGAAAUACUUGUCAUAGAAAUGAAUGUAUCUAGAUGUAUUUUAGUAUUAGGUACAUCCAUUUUUAUACAUUUGUGUGACAAGUAAUUCCGGACGGAGGGAGUAUUUA